UGGGGAAUCUUGCACAAUGGGCGAAAGCCUGAUGCAGCGACGCCGCGUGCGGGAUGAAGGCCUUCGGGUUGUAAACCGCUUUCAGCAGGGACGAGGCCGCAAGGUGACGGUACCUGCAGAAGAAGCCCCGGCUAACUACGUGCCAGCAGCCGCGGUAAUACGUAGGGGGCAAGUGUUAUCCGGAUUCAUUGGGCGUAAAGCGCGCGUAGGCGGUUUGUUAGGUCAGGAGUUAAAUCUGGGGGCUAAACCACUAUCCGCACCUGAUCCCGGCAGGCUUGAGUCUGGUAGGGGAAGGCGGAAUUCCAAGUGUAGCGGUGAAAUGCGCAGAUAUUUGGAAGAACACCGGUGGCGAAGGCGGCCUUCUGGGCCACGACUGACGCUGAGGCGCGAAAGCUAGGGGAGCGAACAGG
rnacentral:rRNA from 1 species